ensembl:lncRNA
GGACAGCAGCCUACCAGGCUCCUCCGUCCAUGGGAUUUUCCAGGCAAGAGUACUGGAGAGGGGUGCCAUUUAGAGGGUCAUAAUUCCUAGACAGGAGGAAGAGUUCAGCCCCUCCCCUUCCCAGCCCUCUCUGGAGACCACCCUGGCUGUGAAGGGGAGAGGUCCUUUGUCACUACUCCUGAAGGUGCCUCCACUGAUGCUGUAUUAAAGAAAUCAGUUCUGAAUAUUCAUAGAAAGGCCACUGAUGUUGAAGCUGAAACUCCAAUACUUUGGCCGCCUGAUGAGAAGAUCUGACUCAUUGAAAAGACCCUGAUGCUGGCAAAGAUUGAAGGCGGGAGGAGAAGGGGACAACAGAGAAUGAGAUGGUUGGAUGGCAUCACCGACUCAAUGGAUAUGAGUUUGAGUAAACUCUGGGAGUUGGUGAUGGACGGGGAGGCCUGGCAUGCUGCAGUCCAUGGGGUCGCAAAGAGUCAGACAUGACUGAGUGACUGAACUGAACUGCACUGAAAGUUAUCUUCUUGGGUAUUUAUCAUCAUUGUAUGGAAACACACUGAUUUCUGUAUAUUGAUUUAUUUACUGCAGCUUUACUGUUUCUGUCAAUUCGUUCCAACAAUUUUUGAUGGAGCCUUUAAGAUAUAGUAUAUAUAAACGCAUAUCAUCUGCAGAGGCGAGGCUAUUUAGACGGAGAUCAGCAGCUACAUCCGCAGACAAAGGAGCCAGGGUGACCGAGUGCACAACCUUCUCAGCAACUGAUGCUGCAGGACCAUCAACGUAGCCAGAAAUCAAAAGAAAGAUAGACACUUCCAAGGAAAGACAAGAUGUGACCACAGCUUCAUAUGUGGCAGAGCACUUAAGGAAGAAAGGGUCUGGUCAUUAUUAUAUCUGAAGUAGAAAUUGUGAAGAUACCUGGAGAAGGCUAGUGGUGGGGACUAAAGUGGACCAUAUAGUAAGAAGCUAAGAACUCUGACAUCAUGUUUGGACCUAUGGACCCUAAAAGUAAGUAAUUCUAACAGAAGUUUUAUAUUGCUCUACAUCUGAAUUUUUCUCAAUCUCAAAGCAUAAGGAAAGCUUUCUAAAAGUCACAGCCUGAACUCGAGCUAUACUAUGUAUAAUUAUGUAAAAGAAUAUACCCUCCCUGAGUCAGAAUGAGGGCAUCAGAAGAGAUCACCACCAACAGGAAAAUAAGUAUCAAUAUGCUAGUAAAGCAUCAAUAUGCUGAAGGUACUCACCAUCAAGGCCAGCUACUAGGACAAGGAGAAGGUAAGGACCUGGAGACUUGUCCAGGACACAUGGAUAGGAGUUUGUGUUCACUAGUCUCAUUUGACUCAAAAGUGAAUUUGUCACAG